AUUGGAUCCUUCUUGUUAUUGACCCGCAUAAUGAUACUACAUACGUGUUGGAUCCAUUGAAGGAAGAUCGUUAUUUUACGGAGAUAAAGAUCGUCACAGAAACAGCUAUAAAAAUGUUCAAUAAGAACAUAGGAAAAAGAGGAAGACAAAGUCAUGCGUGGGAAGUGAUAAAGUGUCAUCAACAACCUCACGGGUCAGUACAAUGUGGAUUCUAUGUAAUGCGUUACAUGAAAGACAUUAUUGAAAAUUAUGGAUGUGACCGCCCCAAACCAAUAUCUUCAUUGUUUGCCGAAGGAUUUUACUCUGAAGAAUAAAUCAAUGAACUUCGGGAAGAGUGGGCUGAGUUUGUAUAUCGUUUUGUUCAUAAGAAUGAUGAUGAAAGUUCAAGCUAGUUGGAUGAUAUAUUUGUUGGACAAUUGUUGGUGAUGAAGUCGUAAUUAGUUGGAGAUUUUAUUAGAAAUUUUUUUAGUAGAUAAAUAAAGGUGUAACUAGAGAUGAUACAAUUGUGGAUGUAAAUAUUUGAUUAUGAGUUUUAG